GUUAGCUUUGGCAGGACCUAUACUAAAAUUGGAAUGAUAGCAGAUUAAUUGGCAUGGUCCCAGCACAAGGAUGACACACAAAUUUGUGAAACAUUUCAUAUAUCU